UUGGAAUUGAUAUACAAUGACACUGCUGUAUUACUAGAGAUGGCCAGAAACUUUAGAGGAAUUUUAAUGGUUUUAGACAAGAGACCAACUUACAAACUGCAAUAACUAUAUAUUGAGUUUGAUAUAAGUGUGAAGUCUAAUUGAUUGUUAACUGAAGAGAACAACAAUCUUACAUCCAUCAACUCCAUUGGUUUGAAUCCCAUUAUUUUUUUCAAUUGAUUGCUUAUCAAGGUUGUUGAGCUGGAUGAGGAGUAGUUGUACUUCUACAGAGAAGAAUGUGAUCCAUUUAGAACAUAUAGAUGAAGUCUUUAAAAGGGAAUUUAGUUUGGGAUCAAUGAAUUCAUAUUAUCACAUCAAAAAGCGUUAGAAUCAGAAAAAGAAGGAAAAAGAAAACAAGAAGUGAAUGAUCUCAUUCGCCAUUGCCACCGCUCAAGUUAGGUAGAAAAGGCAAGAAGUAGCUGUGUUUGGAGACACUGUUGCUCAAACAUGUGUCACAAUAAACUGCGCCCACUAUUGUGAUUCGAGUGACUGACGUUAGAGCUUCAGCUGUUCGGCCAAACAAACUAGUGAAGAAAGAUGUUAAAACAAGGAGAAGAAGGAGAGAAAUGGUGGGAUCCAUAAGAAACAUUCAAUGAAGUGGAGGAGGUUUUGCGAGAAGCAUCAAUGGGUAAGAUCUUAAAAUUUUCAAGUGAUUGUUUGCUAUAUACUGUUUGCAUAUAAUGUGCCCGUGAGUUCUUGGUGUUAGACCAACUGUAAUCAGAAAAGAAAAAAUGAUUAUUCUAUUCACUACAAACAAAGACAUGUGAAGUACCUUUUUGGAUGAAUGUGGGGGCAAGUGUAAAAUGAAAGGGGUUUUGUGGUUAGUCUUUUAAGGCGGAUUCAGAGAUAAAUGGGAUGAUUAAAAGGCUAUUUGAUUUCCUAGAUCUGGAAAGAUGCAAGGAAGAAACUUUUCAUAUUUCUACUGACUACCCAAUAAGUGGAACUUCAUUAUAUUUAGGACCCAGAAAAAUGCCACGAGAAAAGAAGAAAAAAUUUCUAUGAUACCAAAUGAAGCCCUUGUUAGGCAAUUUCAUAGGAUUCAUUUAGGAACUGCCCUGAAUUUAAGCUCCGGUUGAUUGGGAAAAGGAUUCAUUUUUAGCCUAAAUCCUCUGCCCUUCUAGACUGUCUAGUUGUUGCAUGGGUGCCACGGCGUCUAGACUUUAUAUAUAUCCCUCUUAUUUGUCUGUUUUCAUUUCAUUUGAUUAUUCUAAAUACUUGUAUAAGAAGCUAAAAAGAUCUUAAUCUUAAAGCAUCUAAAACAAUAUAAAAGGAUUGGCUGAAUUAUAAGCUCGGUGCUCGCCGUUGCAAAUAAAGCUUUGGUUAAGCAUGUAUUGUCUCUUUUGCAUGCUUCCCCUGUACUCAACUGUUUUGCUUGUUUCUUAUGAUGUUGGGAACACAACAAACACAGCAACGAAUAAACAAAAAACAAAAAGAUGUAUUAACUUAACAAAACUUAUAAUUGAAAAGGCAGCAGAAAAAAGGGUCAGAUGAGCUGCUAAAAUAACGAUAUAUAGCGUCAACUUUUACAAAGGCCCAAUAUCAUAUUUCUGAUCAUGACAUUCGAAACAUCGAUCAACUUUUUGAAGAUCUGGAUGAAAACCCUUUAGUUUCAUGCCUUUCUAAAAUUUAUGUUUGAGUUCAACCAUUUGUAGACUAGAUAUUCAAUUUUUUGGUCUGUUAGGUUGAGAUUUCAUACUUUAUAUCAAUUAAGUUAUAGUCAUCAGCUUUUUACUUAGUCUAUUAGCCUUUUUUAUCGAUAAAAUUGUAUAGAAACUUUCACAUUUAUUAUAGUUCACAUGAAUAUUCUUUUGCUGGAAGUAUGAAUUUUCUUCUUCUUCUGCUUCUUCUGCCUUGUGAAUGUUUAUCAUUUGUCUUUCUUUUUCUUUUUUUUCUCUUGCUGCACUUUGUGUACUAAAAGUUGAAGAUAAUUUGGAAAAAGAAACCCAUGGGAAUGAUCACUUUUUAAAAA